rnacentral:misc_RNA from 1 species
AGUGUUGGAUGAUGUUUGGAAUGAGGAUCUUCAAAAAUGGCUUGACUUAAAGGUAUUAUUGAAGUGUGGUGCUAGGGGAAGUUGGAUCUUGGUAACCACUCGCUCUGAAAUGGUUGCAAAAAUAACUGGUACAUUGCCACAUUAUCCUCUAGAGGGCUUAGCUCCAGAUAGGUCUUGGUCUUUGUGUAAGAAAAUAGUGUUUAAGGGAGA